UACGUAGGGUGCAAGCGUUAAUCGGAAUUACUGGGCGUAAAGCGUGCGCAGGCGGUUAUGUAAGACAGAUGUGAAAUGCCCGGGCUUAACCUGGGAACUGCAUCCGAUACUGGAUGGCUUGAAUCCGGGAGAGGGAUGCGGAAUUCCAGGUGUAGCGGUGAAAUGCGUAGAUAUCUGGAGGAACACCGGUGGCGAAGGCGGCAUCCUGGACCGGCAUUGACGCUGAGGAGCGAAAGCCAGGGGAGCAAACGGG
rnacentral:rRNA from 1 species